rnacentral:rRNA from 1 species
GACAGCAGUAGCCGCGGUAAUACAGAGGGUGCGAGCGUUAAUCGGAUUUACUGGGCGUAAAGCGUGCGUAGGCGGCUUCUUAAGUCGGAUGUGAAAUCCCUGAGCUUAACUUAGGAAUUGCAUUCGAUACUGGGAAGCUAGAGUAUGGGAGAGGAUGGUAGAAUUCCAGGUGUAGCGGUGAAAUGCGUAGAGAUCUGGAGGAAUACCGAUGGCGAAGGCAGCCAUCUGGCCUAAUACUGACGCUGAGGUACGAAAGCAUGGGGAGCAAACAGGAUUAGAUACCCGGGUAGUCCCUGUCUCUUAUAA